rnacentral:rRNA from 1 species
CCCCUAGAUGUUCUGGGCCGCACGCGUGCUACACUGAACAGUUCAACAAGUCUUAACCUUGGCCGAUAGGUCUGGGUAAUCUUUGAACGCUGUUCGUGAUUGGGAUAGACCUUUGCAAUUAUGGGUCUUCAACGAGGAAUUCCUAGUAAACGCAAGUCAUCAGCUUGCAUUGAUUACGUCCCUGCCCUUUGUACACACCGCCCGUCGCACCUACCGAUUGAAUGGUCCGGUGAAAUCUCGGGACGGCGGCUUGGUCGCUUGCGUCCGACUGCUGAAACUUGAUUAAACCAUAUCAUUUAGAGGAAGGUGAANUCGUAACA